AAAACUCCCAGACGAGGAGUUUCGUACAAUUUGAAGAGCUCAUCUGUAACGUAUCUCUGCCAGCAUAUGAAAUAUGUAGCGAGUAGUCGACACAACCAGGAUAAUUUAAGGCAACAAAAUGGAUUGGCACUAUAAAGCACUAUAUAUCUGGUUUACAAUGUCCAAUUGUAUAGUGUCCAGUACAUUAGGCGUGUUUAUGACCAAUUUUCGAGGAGCCGGCAGUUAAUUCACAGUGUCGAAUAGCAUUUUGGAUGGCGUGUUGGGAAAGUAAGGAUUGGAUGGAAAAUCAUGGUAGCUUUCCCGCGUCCGAAUAGCUAGUCUUAUGGAGCAACACAGGUAGAGCCAGACUGCCGAUCACGUGACCGACCUGCGCACUCACGUGACUGCUGUGCGCACCAACGUGAGGGGCAAACCUUCGGCUUUCAGACACUGAUCCGGUGACGCCGUGACGAUCAUUGUGCGGCCCUUCUGCACACGGAAACAGUCGCGUGACACCUGCAUAUUGACGAUUGUUGGCAGAAACAGGAUCAAACUUUGAGUUGCUCCUUUCGAGGGCCUUAACUUUGGGAUCCCUGCUUUGAAUUAAAUGGAGAUGAAAGAACCCGCGGAGGACGGGAAUAAGACAAAAAUACGAGCAGGGAGUGACGGGACUCCGAGACCGCGCAACAUUCUGACAUCGAGAUCCUCGCGGGCUUCCAGGAGUUCACGGGGGGAUGGAUUCCGGGGGUCGGUUUGGAGCGCCGCGUCGUCGAUGCUACACCGCCUUCGGACCCGGCAAUGCAAGGUCCUAGUCCUCUGCCUCGUACUGCUUCUCAUUCUGGUGCUGGCUGUCACUUUUAUCGGAGUUUCCCUUACUGGGAAUGAUGUGGCACAACCAGGGAACAAUGAGUUCAUUCCUGCAACAGUCAAAACUGAAUACGAAGAGUUGAUUGGGUUUUCGUCAGAGUACACUUGUCCCAAAGGGGAGUUCCGGUGUGGCAACCUGACUCACUGCGUCGCCCAGAAAUACCAAUGCAACGGUGAGGACGACUGCGGCAACAACGCGGACGAGACCGAGUGCGAACAUAACGAGGGCUGGAUUAAAACCUUCGACGAACAGAACCCCGUCCCAGUGGACCUAGAUUGGCAGAUCAACCAGGAGUGUGGUCUGUACGGGUUCCCUGACGUCUGCGUGUGUUUCGAGGAGACCGAAUUGAAGUGCAUCCAGGUCAAUUUGACCCAGGUACCGCAGAGCGUCUCGGCAAACCUGACGCGCUUAAACUUGAACGGUAACAUGGUGCACUUGGAAGACGGUGCCUUCGAAAGAUACACCAAGCUGGGAUCGCUGAAUCUAAUGCAGAACGGGAUCCGGGAGUUGCCGCGGGACGUCUUUCGAGGUCUGACGGAUCUCGACAAACUGUACCUGUCUACGAACAGAAUUUCUACAAUAACUCCUGGGACAUUCCGCUUUCUGCAGAACCUCACGUGGCUGUUCCUGAAUGAGAAUGAAAUCGAGACUUUGGACGAGGAUGUCUUCGAAGGGCUGCACAAAGUAUACUGGCUAAUGUUGCAGAAGAACAAAAUUGGAGAUCUUAACCACGGUGUCGCCUUCAGAGACCUUCCCAAAUUGAUGUGGCUGGAUAUGUCUAAUAAUCCCUUGCAUCACCUGUCGGCGGAUAACUUCUCAGCGUCCGGUAAUCCGCCCCUCAGCAUCCUCAUGCUGAGUAACUGCAACAUCAGCACCAUACAGAAAGACACAUUCCAGGCUUUCAGAGAGCUGACAGCACUUCACGUCUCCGGAAACAAAAUCGGGCAUUUUCCGUCCGGGCUGUUUCGCAACAUGGCCAACCUUACAGUCUUGACGAUUGCGAAUAAUCCGGCGACGUCCCUGCCCGAGGACCUGUUCGAUGACCUUGUUCUCCUGGAUGAUUUAAACUUAGGAGGCCUCGUCAUCAAUAACAUCAGCGCAAGGAUGUUCAAAGGGAUGACUAAUCUGCAACACAUCGAGUUCUUCAAGUUCGAGUACUGCCGCUACGCAGCCCACGUGCGCACCUGCAAGCCGCGAUCCGACGGCAUCUCCUCCUUCGAAAACUUACUCAAGGACGGCAUCCUGCGAGUGUCCGUCUGGACCAUCGCCCUCUUGUGUUUCCUGGGCAACAUUGGGGUCCUGAUCAGCCGCUACCUGAUGAAGGCCGAGAACCGCAUCCACUCGCUGGUAGUCGUCAACCUGUGCACCGCGGAUUUCUGCAUGUCCAUCUACCUGUUCGUCAUCGGCUACCACGACGCCAAGUUCCGCAACCAGUUCAACACCCACGCCCUGGAGUGGAUGCAGGGCUCCGCCUGCAAGUUCGCCGGCUUCAUGGCCAUGUUUUCCAGCGAGGUGUCGGUCUUCAUGCUCACCUUCAUUUCCCUGGAGCGCUUCAUCUGCAUCGUCUAUCCAUAUCGGCUGCACAGGCUGACGUCCAAAGAAGCCCUUGUGAUCAUGACAAUCAUCUGGUUCUUGGGAGCCCUGGUAGCGUGGAUUCCCCUGAUCAGCGUGGGUUACUUCGUCGAUUUCUACGGCAGCAACGGCGUGUGCUUCCCGCUGCACAUCCACGACCCGUGGCUGCAAGGCUGGGAGUACUCGGCUUUCAUCUUUCUGGGACUGAACGCGACCUGCUUCACCGCAAUCGCCAUCUCCUACACAGGCAUGUUCAUUAGCAUACAACAGACGCGAAAGGCAGCCACUCACCUCGGCAGACGCGGGGACAUGAAUUACGCCAAGCGGUUCCUCUUCGUUGUCAUGACAGACGCCCUCUGUUGGCUGCCCAUCGCCAUCCUCAAAAUACUCUCACUAUGCAGCUACGAAAUUCCAGCGACCUUGUACGGCUGGAUCGUCAUCUUUGUUCUGCCCAUCAACAGCGCCCUCAACCCCAUCCUGUACACCCUCAGCACCACGUCCUUCACGCAGUGGUUCCAAAAGCACCUGAAGCGACGCAAGGGCAAGUCCAGCAAUGGCAGCCUGGGCUCCAAGAACGAAUUCUCCACCACGAGAGUCUUUGAGGCUCAAGCUGACGGCUGCCAAUCACCAGAUUCAGCACGGGUCCGCUUCGUGUUUUGGUCCGGCCUCAGGUAGCAGCCACUGCCCUAACCGCUUUGCCUUUGUCCGCCUUACAUUGUAAACCAGCCCCGGUUAAAGGUAAUCGGCUUCCGAAAACAUGUCUUCGGUUUUGGUUGCUAGACGGAGAAAAAGUGCCUGCAAGUGAUUCCCUAAUUCAACCAUGAGUCUGUUUUUGUGUAAUAUGUAGAAAUAAUCUAACACAUCCCCCCCCCCCUCGCUUCGUAAAGUCCAAGUAAUCACAAGCCACAUCACAGUCCAUCACCAGGCGAAUAACGAGUAAGAUGACAAUCAUGUAGUCUGGCUCCCCGACCCCAUUGUCCUUCAGACGUUAAAAAUGGGGACAGGUAGCUAGCAAUGAUGUUCCAAAUAUCAGAAAGCAUCCCUCCUGAUGUAUGAAAAUAAAUAUACAUGACGGUGUAGAGGUCUGAAUCCUGCCUCCUGAACUUGAACAUCACAACGGCAAUGUUUGCCCGCAACCAGCCUAUUGCAAAAUGACAAUUUCGGAGGUGAUGAGCUUCGAUUUUUGCUGAAUGCGAAAGUGUCUCUGGAAAAUAUCGAUACAGAGAGAGAAAUUACUGUUCAGUAUUUAAAACCUAUGCAGUUGAGAUGCUUUAAAGUUACCUUCAUUGAGACACUGAUGAUUUUGUGUACUUUUGUGGUAAGACAAGAGCCGUCUGUGCACUGAGCUAAACAGCGAUUUAAAAAAUAAACAGUCAUGCAGAGGAGAUCCAAUCAAUGGCUUUAAAUGGGAGCUAUAUCUACCGGUCCCCACAUUUUUAGGAGGAAACAGUCUAACAAUCAAGCAACAAGAAAUAAAUAGUAACACAGAUUUUUUGUGUGUAGAUGUUCAAUUGGAUACCUUCAGACUUGACUUGGUGCCGAAAGACAUGAUGUAUUUGUGAUAAAGGGCUGGACAAGUAAUUUCGCCCUUUUUAACCAACUAACAAAAUGUUAUUUUCACCUCCUCCAUUGUCAAUCUCUGUUUAAUUGUGGUAUUUACAGCUCUGCUGUGCCUGAUAUGUAUAAUCUGUGUAUUGUAUGUUGUGCACAUUUGGAGUGAUACAACCUGUUAUAGCGGCAUUGUUUUGUUACACUGUUAAUUCUUCUGUAAGAUAGUCAACAUUGUCUUUCUUUGGUUGUUUAUCAGUUAAUAAUAAGAUUGUGAUUUUGUUGUUUCAAUCGUUGUUUAUGUGACCAUAUGCCUGAACAACGUACUAUUACUAUUACUACUACAUGUAUCACAUCAAUUGGUAAUAUCCUGGACUGAAACUAAGCAAUAUUCCCAAUACAGGGCGCCACCAAGAGUUUGCCGUAGAGAGGCCAUUUUUCGCAGCGCACCAUGGGAAAAGUCCGCGUCCAAGUUGACAGCUUAAACAUUGAAGGAUCGGUUCGACCACAGACCAACCCACCGAGUACUCCUCGAUCCCCAAGCGGUCCUACGACAGCAAUAAUUCCUCGCCCGUGCU
rnacentral:misc_RNA from 1 species